UCUGGAUCUUGGUAAAGAGGAAGCUGGCCUAUACAAACUGUCUUGGGUGCCACCUUCCUCUUCUUCCUCUCCUGGUUCUUCAUUCACUUCUGUAUGUGCUUUGUCUGAUUUUUGUAAUGAUGACAAUGUGCCUGACAGCAAAAUUGUUGCUUUGCCUCCAAUUGUAAAUAAUUCCAUUUGAAUAAUGAUGCUACCACUGAUAUAAAUUACAUUUGGCAUUUAAGACUAGCACAUACUUCUUUUGCAAAUAUGAG
rnacentral:lncRNA from 1 species